rnacentral:rRNA from 1 species
UGCCUAAUACAUGCAAGUCGAACGCUUCUUUUUCCACCGGAGCUUGCACCGGAAAAAGAGGAGUGGCGAACGGGUGAGUAACACGUGGGUAACCUGCCCAUCAGAAGGGGAUAACACUUGGAAACAGGUGCUAAUACCGUAUAACAAUCGAAACCGCAUGGUUUUGAUUUGAAAGGCGCUUUCGGGUGUCGCUGAUGGAUGGACCCGCGGUGCAUUAGCUAG